UACGGAGGGAGCGAACGUUGUUCGGAUUUACUGGGCGUAAAGGGUGUGUAGGCGGUCUUGCAAGUCAGGGGUGAAAUCUCUCGGCUCAACCGAGAAACUGCCUUUGAGACUGCAGGACUUGAGGGCGUGAGAGGAGACUGGAAGUUCCUAGUGUAGCGGUGAAAUGCAUAGAUAUUAGGAGGAACACCGGUGGCGAAGGCGGGUCUCUGGGCGAGUAACUGACGCUGAGGAGCGAAAGCGUGGGGAGCGAACAGG
rnacentral:rRNA from 1 species